CGUACACUCCUGCGGGAGGCAGCAGUGGGGAAUUUUGGACAAUGGGCGAAAGCCUGAUCCAGCCAUGCCGCGUGCAGGAUGAAGGCCUUCGGGUUGUAAACUGCUUUUGUACGGAACGAAACGGCCUUUUCUAAUAAAGAGGGCUAAUGACGGUACCGUAAGAAUAAGCACCGGCUAACUACGUGCCAGCAGCCGCGGUAAUACGUAGGGUGCAAGCGUUAAUCGGAAUUACUGGGCGUAAAGCGUGCGCAGGCGGGUAUGUAAGACAGUUGUGAAAUCCCCGGGCUCAACCUGGGAACUGCAUCUGUGACUGCAUAGCUAGAGUACGGUAGAGGGGGAUGGAAUUCCGCGUGUAGCAGUGAAAUGCGUAGAUAUGCGGAGGAACACCGAUGGCGAAGGCAAUCCCCUGGACCUGUACUGACGCUCAUGCACGAAAGCGUGGGGAGCAAACAGGAUUAGAUACCCGAGUAGUCCCAUG
rnacentral:rRNA from 1 species